UACGGAGGAUGCAAGCGUUAUCCGGAAUGAUUGGGCGUAAAGCGUCCGCAGGUGGCAAUGUAAGUCUGCUGUCAAAGCGUCUGGCUCAACCAGAUAAAGGCAGUGGAAACUACAUAGCUAGAGUAAGGUAGGGGUAGAGGGAAUUCCUGGUGUAGCGGUGAAAUGCGUAGAGAUCAGGAAGAACACCGGUGGCGAAGGCGGGUUGCUGGGCUGACACUGACGCUGACAGCGCGAAAGCUAGGGGAGCGAACGGG
rnacentral:rRNA from 1 species